AAAACAGAGCGUGUUGACAAACUGCAGAGUAACAGCUUGGCCUUCACAGAACUACCUAUGUACUUUGUGCUAUUUUUGGCCAGAGCAGAUGUGGCCUUGAUAGACUGUGGAGAAAAUUAUCUCUCAGGUAAGUGAAUAAAAUUAGGACUGAAAUAAUAUAAAUCCUGCCAUUUGCAAAUAGACCCUGAGCUGGGAGCAGAGAAGGAAGCCUGCCCUUGGAAUCUAACAGUAUAUUGCCCUGAAUGUUUACUCCAGGAAGAUCAGCAAUCCACUAUUUGGCUUCAGCCAUGUGAAGGAGAAUGUGUGACCGCCAAGGGCUCAAGAGAGGAAAAUAGUUUAUAUCCCAUUCUUCCUCAAUAGUCAGGGAGAAGACGAGGCUUGGAGAAAGUUGGCGUUCUGGAUCUAUUUGGAAAACGCUCUGCCAUCUUGACUCGCCUGACAGAAUUACUUGGAACCUACAUAAAUAAAUUAACUGAGAAGAUCAACCUGCUUUGAAAGGACACUUGUAUUUUAAGCAGAG